GCCUCGGUGGUGUAGUGGUAUCACGCGUCCCCGCUAUGGAUGAAACACGGGUUCGACUCCCGUUUGAGGUC